rnacentral:lncRNA from 1 species
GGGAGGAAGAUGCCCCUGACUAAGGAGGCCCACAUGCCAGCCACAAGGAGAAGGGAGGGGGCGCAAAGAAGAUAAGGGCCGGCCGCCCGUUUUGGGUCGGGGAAAGGCGCCGGCCCAGCUGGCCGCGCGGUGCAAAAGAAGAAGGGGAAAGACGAUGGGCCGUUUAUUGGCUGGGAAAGGAAGUGGGCCAAGAGGCCCAGAUGGGAGUAGAAGAGAAAGAAAAGAGAGCCAGCCGUCCGUUUUGGGCCGGGGAAAGGUGCCGGCCCAGCUAGCCCGCGCGGUGUAAAGAAGAAGGGAGAGCCGGUGGGCUGUCCGUUGGGCUGAAAGCAAAAUGGGCCGUGCGGCUCAGGUGGAAGUGAAGAAAGGGAAAGUGGGCCGGUGGGUAAAAAGAAAGCCGUGGGCCGGAUUGAGCAGGCCGAUUGUCGGAGAAAGAAAAAGAAAGAGAAGAGAUGGGCCGGCCGGGAUUGAGAAAGAGAAGAGAAGGAAGGAACCGGCCCAAAAAGGAGCUGCCGCAAGAAGGCCCACGCGUGGAAGGUUAAGUUGACGGGCCACUUUUCGGCCCAAGGAGAAGUGCCGGCCGUGGGCCCCACUUGUCAAUGAAAAAGAAAGGAAGGAGAAUAGGAGGCCGGAUGGACCCUAGGUGGAAGUGAUGGUGGGUAGAAGAAGCUGAGUGAGAAAAGUUUGGGCCGGGGUUUUUAAAUAAACCUUAGGUUUUUCUUUUGUUAGAUAAAUAGAUUAAAUACGAUUUUCACUAUUUAAUUCACCGAAAAUACUAGAAGUGCCCAAAAUUAGUGAAACCAAUUUUAUUAGGAUUGUUUUAUUUUCCUUUAUGCAUUCAAAUUCUUAAACCCUAGGAAAAAUAAUAAAAAUUCAGGUAUUUAUUUAAUGCCUUUUUAUUUAAGGUAUUUAAAUAAAUGCUUAAACUUUAUUAAAUGUAUAAAACUUGAAAAAUGCUUUAUUAUCCACAAAUCAUUAUUAAUUCAUAGGAAAUAAGUUUUUGAGACUAAAAAUUUGUUAUAAUGCUUUUAAAAAUAAAAGAAAAGGUCUAAGGUGUGAUUAGUAAAGGAAAUAAAAAUGGUGGGUUAAUCUUUUCGGGUUUUUGUGUGUUGGCUUGCAACUUUUUCAUGAUAAAUUGUAUAGUCCUUGUUGGCUUGCAACUUUAUCAUGAAGGAAAGUUGUAUAGUCUUGUAUUCAAAAAAAAAAGUGUUGCAUCUCUAACUCUUGCAUAUACUGAAUCGUAGGCGUCACAACUCCUGAAGUGGAAUUCAUGGAAUUCAGCUGGAGGUGGACAGCAUUCGCGAAAUGUGGAGUGCCUCUGUUAAUAAAGGAGUUUUCCGAAGAACUAACCUUGUUGAUCCCAGGCAAGCCCCGGUGCAUCUAUACCUAUCUAUUUUGGAGUUAUUAUUUCAUGUGUCCAAUUAUCGGUUAUUUGAUAUAUGUAUGCACUAAGUCUAGGAGUUGCUUGAAACCUAUUCUUGUGUAUAAUCGUGCCUUGUUUUAAGGACAUCUUUGCCACUUGUUCAAACCUUAGAAGAUAACCCAAGUCUAGAAAUGCUUAGUUGCUUAAAUGCUUGGUUUACCAACCUUAAGGAAAAACUUUUCAGUCAUACAUGUGAUUUAUGGAAGGUUAACUUGGAAUUGAGAAGCGGACAGAAGCUAGAGAUGUAGUUCUGUCUGCUAGAUUAAUUUGAUUAAGGCCCGAUUUGUUGUCUUAACCUUUGAUCAAGUGAUAAGCAUCUGAUCACUUACUGGGUAUGGGACCAGUAAAGCCCAGUAGGUUAGUAAACUCUCUGAUCGGGAAUACUUCGUACUCGCGCUUGACGUGCUGGAGAUUGGCAGGGGCGUAGCCUGAAACUCACAUGGUGAUCAGGCCAGACGUGGGGUCCCAUGUGGGGGUGCGUCCCUGGGUCCGGGUAGUCUUAUUCCCAAUCAUUGGAUUUGCUGAUCGAAAAGUCGUUACGUACGACCUGUACAGUCGUAUAUAGCUGGUGAUCAGGGUACUCUCCUGCAGGAUGUAAAUGGAUCCGGAUCGCCGCAAUUCUCGGUUAUGAAUGCACUUGAUCACUGUUGAGCAUCGUAGUGUAAAUUCAUGAAUGAUAUACCUUUCUGAUAAAUGAGUGAUGUAUGGCUUAAAUACCUUAUUGUUGUCUUUACUCUUUUCUCAUCAUCUAGAAUGGUUAGGUAAUGACUUAACCCAAAUAAAAGAUAAAACUAAGGCAUCACUUGUAGUAAGCUUUUCGGCAAAAAAAUUGCAUUAGCCAAGUACACCAAAAAGCUAAGCAUAUACUUCCAAAGAAAGCUAUUAUAUUGGUUAGUCGGGUAAGACUUGCUGAGUACUUCGUACUCAGGGGAUCCCUUGUUGUUAUUUUCAGAAAACCAGCAGGGACCCACCGAAGAGGAAGCUCCGAAGAUCUAGGGGAUCUUAUGAGUCUCAUGAUACCCUAGAAUAAAACUUAGAUGUUAUCUUUCUUCCGGACUGAUUUAUAUUUUAAAUUCUUAGAACUACACUAACCUGCACUGUUUAGGUUUCCUUCAAUCUAUGGUUGUAAUAUAUCGUACCUUUGAUAUGUCUUUAAAAAUGUAAUAUUUGUUGAUAUUAUCCCAUCGCGGAUAUUAUCCUGAUGUAUGACUAUGAGACACGUCGUGGAUCCUUCGAGGAGUCCUAGGGACACCCGACGGACUACCGGACUUAUGCUGUUUAAGGUGCGUUUCGGAUAAUUGUUGUUCCGAUAGCGAUUAGGCGCACUUAAACCAGCUUAAGUUGGGUGGUUCCGCCACAGCUGGUAUCAGAGCCGUAGGUUGGGAUAAUCAACAGAUAUUACUAUUUAAAAAUUGAGACUCUAUUUUAAAAUAAGAAAAUGUGAGUCACAGGUGGCAGUAGUGUUACUGGUUGUUUGUUUUGCAGAUGCUAACUGUUUGUUGUGUGUCGCUAGUAUUCGGUAGUCUAUUAUUUAGGAAGAGAUUACGAUGCCACCAAUUUUUCUACGAGUGUGUAUAUGAGUCUGAAAGUACGUAGGAAUCGUUGCAUCAUGUUUGCAUUACAUGUUUCAAAACUUUUGGGUUUGGAGAGUGCCGUUAGACCUAAACCCGUCCCGUGUAAUAAAAACUAGACGUAGUAAGGGUGGAUGCAACAGAGAACUGCAGAAGAGAAGAUCAAGACAGACAGGAUGGACACCAAAUCUUAUUUGAGUAAGCAAUUAGAACAACUUAGACUGUCUGGUGUGAGAAGAAUAAGGAAUAAAUUGGAUCCAGUCUGACAAGAGUUAUGGGAUCAGAAAUCAGGACCAUAGUAUUGGAAGCAUUGUAUAAAGGUUUGAAGGAUUUUCUCAAAUGGAGCACGACGUUACUGCAGUCGCUUCAUGAGAUUAAAAGACUUCAAUGUAUACUCUUCAUCAACAUGCCUGUUCCAGUAAUAUUAUUAGAGAGAAAGGAAUGAAGGUUCAAGGAUGGGGGAAAAUGAUACUCCAUAUGAUUUCGAUAUAAGUAAGAAGGCAGCUCUUGCACGAGAUCGUAAUAUGGGAAAAGUUAUGAGAAAAGCAGUUAAAGAAAUUGGGUAAAUAUAAGGCCAAUUGACGAGAGCUCAGGAAUCCAUUGAUUUUGAUGUCUCAGAGAUAUAUCAGAAAACCAUGAACGCCAAGGUAAAUCGAUUGGAAGUCAAGAAAUCAAAGCAACAAGAUGAAAUCUUUUUCUCUCCGAUUCAUAAUACAGGAGAUACAGGCUCGAAUUGCUGGCACGAAAAUUAGGUAACUAUCCUACCUUCAGGAAGACAACAUCUAUUUGCCCGGUAGCAGUGAAAGGAAGGGAGGAUAUUAUGGGUAACCAUAUGAGUAUGAUUGAAUUGGCAUCUUAAAAAGGUAGAUUUGCAUGUUUGUGAGAAUCGGGAUGGCCUCGGUGUGGAAAUGGAAGAGAAUUUAGAAAGAGUCAUAUAGAACCAAAUCAACUGUUAGCUAAGGACAAUGUUGAGGGGGUUGUUUAAGAGAAACAUAUACCAAGGUUUGCGAUAUGCAGGGAAUAAUGAUAUUAAAGAACAAGAGGAAGUUUUAAUGAGUUUCGGUCUGUUGGAUUUUUGUGACCCCAGAAUGUUGGACCCAGGAAGACACAUUUAAUCCAGGUCAGAACCCGUGAUGUAGAGCCCCCAUAAAUUCUUACCUUGGUUGAUGCUAUUGUUAGUCUUAUGAAUUCAAGAGCGGAGCAGGCUAGAUUGCUGAACAGGAACAUUCAGAAUAUAGGGAAUUAACGUGGUUGUUGGGAAUUGAAGCAGUAUCAAAACCACUAACUUUUGGGAAGACACUAUUCUUAACCUUUCACACAACAAUUGGAUAGAUACUAUCCCAGCUGCUCUAUGUGAUCUACAAGCUCUCAGUCCGCUAAAUUCAUCCCGCAAUCAUCUCAUGGGAAAAGUGCCGAGUAUUUCAAAAAGGUUACAGCUAUUACACUCAAGGGAAUCAAGGUCUUUGCGGCGGAGUAUGUGAGCUGCAUAUACCCGCAUGCGAUGUUGUUUCUUUGCAUAUAGCAAGAUUAAAAGUUUUGGGUUAAAAUAUGUAUCCCCAUUGUUGGUUUUGUGGCGCUAUUUAUAUUAUAGUGAUGCCUUAUACUUCAAUAGAGAAAGUCCUUCAUGAUGUAAUAACUGUUGGUUUCUUCUAGUAAGAACUUCUGUAAAGUUUUCUACAAGGAUUAACUUCAGGUUACUGAGAAUUUCACGGAGUCUUUGAUUAGGAAAGGAAGCUAUAGUUCAGUUUACGGAAGAAAGCUAAUCCGGGUAAAACCGGGUUAUUGGCUGUAAAGGUUUUUGACAUGAACAUAUAAGGCACCGAUGGGAGUUUUAUGUCAGAAUGUAAAGCUCUGAGGAGAUGUGUACAGUUUUGGAGUAUUGCUGGCAAAGACACUAACAGGGAAAAAGCUAGUAGAUCCUGUGUUCUGCAAUGGAGUGAGCAUUAUAACCUUCAUCGAGAAGAAUUUUUUUUUAGACCAGAUACUUCAUAUCCUUGAUGUUCAAAAGAAUGCAAGAAGUUUUCUAGAACAGAUUUGGAAGAAGAUAACGCAGUAUACUCAUGCUUGUUAAAGCUACUAAGAAUGGCAUUUUCCUGCACAUGUCAGCCCCUAAUCACUGACAUUAACUCCAAGGUUCCGCAGGCACAUAAUGGACCAGCUAUCUGGUUAGGCGAUCCGUCAGAAAGGAGAUAUCUUGGGAAGAUUUCAAGACAAUCAUUUGUACCCAGUUUCUGCUAAAAAGGAUUAUAAGAGUGCAGCUGGAACAAUUUCAAAAAAAAAGUUUAGCAGAAACACAAGAGUAUUCGGGAGUAUCUAAGCACAUACGACCAUCUGGCACAAUAUGAUCCCAAAUAUAUGAACACUGAGUCUGAGAAAAGGAAUUGUUUCCAAGUAAUUUUACAGAUUAUAGCUCUGCUAUGAACAUAGUAAUCCCCAGAAAAGAUGAGAGCUUUGGACAAACCCCUUGGAAGGGAGGAGUCCUUGGAAUGGGAGGACAUUUCUUUCGAGGCAUUUGAAAGUAUUCCUCGGGAGCUGAAGGAUUGUCUACUAAGAACCUGCUAGAUCUACUUAUAAGCCCCAACUACAAUUGUCAUAUCAAUCAUGGGUUAUCCAGAACCCAGAUAAUACUCCAUGUUCAAACAAACCCAUAAGUACCUGAAAAGUUAAAGCACCACUAUCUUUGCAAUUCUACAGUCGUAUUAUAACAUAACUAUGGAAGGACUGGUUUCACCAGAGCUCUUCAUUUUCCACAGUAAGGGGGAAUUAUGGAUGAGAAGACUCAAAUUUCAUGCCAAGGAUCAGGUCAAAAGUCUAUUCGAAAGAAGUUCCUUAACUACAAGGAAGGGACGUGAGCAUUAUAUGAAUAUUAACGAGUUUCUAAAAGGUUGAGUUUGCAUGAAAUCUUGAGAAUAGUAAGAUGUGUCAAGCUUUAAAGCAAAGGUUUUGAAGAACAAGAAUAAAGAAGAGUAUGCGGAGCAUUUGCGCAUUGAUUUGGAUAGCUUCUGGAGCAUUGACUAUAUGCCAAGUUUAGUGAAUAUGAAUUUGGCUAAAGAAGGUUCCGUUCAUUAGGCAUGCUUUGUCCGAAUAAGAAAUUGAAGUGGAUCCUGGAAAGGUCAAGGACAUAAGUCGUCAAUAACUGUUCAGGAAGUAAGAAGUUUUCUUAAAAUGGCCGGGCACUAUCGAAGUCAGAAGGUAUGAUAUGGCUGGAACUGAUCGAAGAAUAUAAAUUAGAGAUUGUAUCAUUCGAACAAAACUAAUGUACCCUGCAAAACCUUAUCUCGCACGAUACCUUAAAGAAAAAGAUAGAACAAACUCAGAAAAGGACAAAGGAAUAAGAAUACUUCGGAAAUGAGUAAGCUAAGGUGAUAUUACUUGUUUUUCCAGGAUGAAAGGAGGGUGUUCUAUUUUAAAAACUGAAUAAUAGUACUCAAGAAGAUGGACUUGAGAAAGGAGAUCUUAGAUGAAGCUUGUUAUUAGGAUUCUCUAUGCACCCGGGCAGUAUUAAGAUGUAUUAACACAUGAAGCAAUGAUUUUGGUGGACAAGAAUGAAAAGGGAAAUAGCCAAGUAUGUAUCUGAAUGUGAUACGUGUCAAAGGUAAAAGCUAUAUAUCAGAAAUCGGUCGACUUAUUGCAACCCUUCACCAUUCCUGAAUGGAAGUAGGAAGACAUCUCCCUGGAUUUUACGGUAGGAUUUCCUACUACUCAAGGGGGUAUGAUUUCAUAUGAGUUAUCAUAGCUUGACUCACUAAGUCGGCUCAUUUCAUUCCUGUCAAGACCAUUUACCGGAUGCCAGCUCAUGUAGAACUUUAUAUGUAUCGGGUAGUAUCAUUACCUGAAGUACCCAAGACAAGUGUCUUUAAUUGAGCUUCCCAAUUCGUUUCUGGAUUCUGGGAACAAAUGCAUGAGACAAUGGGAACUAUCCUUAUCAAGAGCAAAGGAUGCUUGGUUAGACAGAAAAAGAUAUGCUUCGAGCCUGUGUUCUUACCUCCUCGAAGAAAUGAGAUGAAUGUUUGCCUCUAGCAAAAAUGAAAAGAAUGCUUUCUUUUAAUUUGGUCAAAAUCAAGAGAAAGAGCACAUUUGGAAUCAGAUCUAGUCAUUUAAAGUUGAGGAAAAAGUUCAGAAAAAUUAUAAGAACCUUGAAAUAGCUUAGUCCUGACAAAAAGGUUAUUCGGAUAAAAGAAGAGGAUCUUUUGGAAUGUUAUUUUGAGACUUUGUACAUAUUCGGAGUAUCCCCGAUGAAAGGAGUACACCGGUUUGGAGUCAAAGGAAAAUUAGCUCCGCAAUAUAUGGGUCCGUAUAAAAAUUCUGAAUCGGACGACCAUCAAUACUCAAACUAAGAGUAUCAGAUUGUACAAGGUGCAAAUGAAAGAAUCAUGCUCCAGAUGAAGCUACUUGGGGACAAGUUGAAGACCUAGAGUCUAAAUAUUCUGAGUUAUUUGAAACUGUCACUGUCAGAUGAACAACAAAAAGCCACCACCUCGCUUUCUUUAUACAGACAAGAGAAAAAUAUUAUGUCUGAGGCAGUUUCCUUUCCAUUCUCAAAACCGAGGAUGUAACCCCGGGAAUCUUGGGACGAGAUUCUGUUAAGGGGGAGAGGCUGUAACAGCUGCCAUUUUAGUCAUUUCAGUGACUUGGAUGAAUUGGAAGUAAUUCAAGAAGAAAGGAAAAAGAGAUAGACCGAAAAUCAAAUUCGGGUCAAAUUUGGCCGAAAUUUAAAUUUUGAAUUUGAAAUUCAGAAAAAUUCAGCAAAAAUAUAAAAUGGAAGUGUAAGGAUGAUUAGAACUUAAGGGUCAAAAAUUUGGAAUAAUAUUUGAUCCUAAACACUCAAAAGAAAUCAGAGAAGGAAAUGAAAAACUACGUUUACUAUUCACCGUCCGAAAACAAGAAAUCAGAAAAACAGCCUCAGAGUUCAUUUUGGAAAUUGAAUUCUGAUAAAUUUCUCAAAUAAGUAAAUCAGGACAACUAUACCAUGUUGAAGUAUGAACUUUGGACUCCUAAAUUUGGGUGUUGUUGAUCAGGAAUAGCAGAGGGAACCAUUUCAAAUGGAGGCCUAAAGUUGGCACUUUGUCACAAUAGGCGGUUUUGCUGAAUUUUGGUUAAGUCUGAAAAUGGUAUUGAGUGCAUGACUUUAGAACCAAUUUCUGGAGAAAUUUCCUUAAAAGUGAGCAGAUGUUUUUGGACAUUAGUGUAAUAUGGACUAUGGAGAAGGUAAAUGAAUUGUUUUUGUCCAGAGAAAGUGGAAGGUUUGAAUUCAAAUUGGAGCCAAAAGUCAGCAAAUGAGCAAAUUUCGAACCCCUUGCCGAAAUAAAUUCUAAGUCUGAAAACAGUGUUAACUAGCAAUGUUUGGAGCAAAUUUCAGGAAAAUCCAGUGCAAAGGUUAUAUAGUUUCUUGUGCAAAAUGGAAUCCUUAUUAGUUGUAGAACACAAUUGGUGAGUGGUUGGCCCAUAUGGAAUACAUUUGGGCUACUGAAAUUGGUACCAAAGAAGGGUAAAUGACCACACUGGAAGACUGUCGAAACUGAAUCCUGAAUAUUCAGUUAACAGAAAGCUGACAGAAACUUGGAGCUCCAAAAUCUCGACCUUAGGGUGCUUAAUUCGGUUGGAGGCCAAUCUAUCAAAUGGAGUACUUGGAUUACUCUACAAGUUUGCUUAAAGGAGUUCUACGAGUUGAGAUGAAAUAUCUUGAGCAAUGGAGGGAUGAACAGGUCGUUUUGAAAAGAAGAAAUAAGAGCAGUAAGAACAGAGGCGACAGGCAGAGCCGUGCCGCUGCUGGCUCUCGCGCAUGCUGGCCAGCGCGACAGCCACGUUCGCACCCCGCCGCCUACCACGAGCUAAGCUGGGUGUCAUGUACGGUGAAUUGCGUCGCUAUCGCCUCGCCCUCAUCCAGUUAAUCUUCUGUCUUUUUGGUUCUACUGCCGUGCGAGCCGAGUUGAGCAACCAUCGCCGCCGCCGGCCAUCUCAACCGCGCCGCCGUCUCCCCUCCCGUUUCGCCCAUCAGCAGCUUCCAUAGCCCCGUCAUGACGCCCUCCACCCAACAGAAGUCCAUCUUUCCAUCGGCAAGCCAGUAAUCGCCGCCGUUUCCGUCCGCCAGCCGCCGUCACCCAAUCCCCAAGGUGAGCUCCUGAACCGACUGUUUCUUCUCAAUUAACGGGCCUAGGGGCGUCCUGCGAGAGUGUGGAAGCCGAAGGGGGAGUCGUGGAAGCCGCUUGCGCCGUCUCCGUGCGCCGCCAUGACCGGCAGCCGGCCAAGCCGCCCGCCGCCGUGGAGGGGCCAUCUCCGGCCGUCUCCCGGGACGCCGCCGCCGCCCACGGGUGUACCGCGGCCUGGGGUUGCCUCCCCGGCCUGACCCCGUCGGCGGCGAGCCGCCAGCCGGCGAGCCCCCAUCGGUCCGGCACGCCUCUGUUCUUGGCCAAGGGAGGAAGAUGCCCCUGACCAAGGAGGCCCACAUGCCAGCCACAAGGAGAAGGGAGGGGGCGCAAAGAAGAUAAGGGCCGACCGGCCGUUUUGGGCCGGGGAAAGGCGCCGGCCCAGCUGGCCGCACGGUGCAAAAGAAGAAGGGGAAAGACGAUGGGCCGUUUAUUGGCUGGGAAAGGAAGUGGGCCAAGAGGCCCAGAUGGGAGUAGAAGAGAAAGAAAAGAGAGCCAGCCGUCCGUUUUGGGCCGGGGAAAGGUGCCGGCCAGCUAGCCCGCGCGGUGUAAAGAAGAAGGGAGAGCCGGUGGGCUGUCCGUUGGGCUGAAAGCAAAAUGGGCCGUGCGGCUCAGGUGGAAGUGAAGAAAGGGAAAGUGGGCUGGUGGGUAAAAAGAAAGCCGUGGGCCGGAUUGAGCAGGCCGAUUGUCGGAGAAAGAAAAAGAAAGAGAAGAGAUGGGCCGGCCGGGAUUGAGAAAGAGAAGAGAAUGAAGGAACCGGCCCAAAAAGGAGCUGCCGCAAGAAGGCCCACGCGUGGAAGGUUAAGUUGACGGGCCACUUUUCGGCCCAAGGAGAAGUGCCGGCCGUGGGCCCCACUUGUCAAUGAAAAAGAAAGGAAGGAGAAUAGGAGGCCGGAUGGACCCUAGGUGGAAGUGAUGGUGGGUAAAAGAAGCUGAGUGAGAAAAGUUUGGGCCGGGGUUUUUAAAUAAACCUUAGGUUUUUCUUUUGUUAGAUAAAUAGAUUAAAUACGAUUUUCACUAUUUAAUUCACCGAAAAUUCUAGAAGUGCCCAAAAUUAGUGAACCAAUUUUAUUAGGAUUGUUUUAUUUUCCUUUAUGCAUUAAAAUUCUUAAACCCUAGGAAAAAUAAUAAAAAUUUAGGUAUUUAUUUAAUGCCUUUUUAUUUAAGGUAUUUAAAUAAAUGCUUAAACUUUAUUAAAUGUAUAAAACUUGAAAAAUGCUUUAUUAUCCACAAAUCAUUAUUAAUUCAUAGGAAAUAAGUUUUU